GACGAACGCUGGCGGCGUGCUUAACACAUGCAAGUCGAACGGAAAGGCCCUGCUUUUGUGGGGUGCUCGAGUGGCGAACGGGUGAGUAACACGUGAGUAACCUGCCCUUGACUUUGGGAUAACUUCAGGAAACUGGGGCUAAUACCGGAUAGGAGCUCCUGCUGCAUGGUGGGGGUUGGAAAGUUUCGGCGGUUGGGGAUGGACUCGCGGCUUAUCAGCUUGUUGGUGGGGUAGUGGCUUACCAAGGCUUUGACGGGUAGCCGGCCUGAGAGGGUGACCGGCCACAUUGGGACUGAGAUACGGACCAGACGCCUACGGGAGGCAGCGGUGGGGAAUAUUGCGCAGUGGGCGGAAGCCUGAUGCAGCAACGCCGCGUGCGGGAUGACGGCCUUCGGGUUGUAAACCGCUUUCGCCGGUGACGAAGCGUGAGUGACGGUAAUGGGUAAAGAAGCACCGGCUAACUACGUG
rnacentral:rRNA from 1 species